rnacentral:rRNA from 1 species
GUGGGGAAUCUUGCGCAAUGGGCGAAAGCCUGACGCAGCCAUGCCGCGUGAAUGAUGAAGGUCUUAGGAUUGUAAAAUUCUUUCACCGGGGACGAUAAUGACGAUACCCGGAGAAGAAGCCCCGGCUAACUUCGUGCCAGCAGCCGCGGUAAUACGAAGGGGGCUAGCGUUGCUCGGAAUUACUGGGCGUAAAGGGCGCGUAGGCGGAUCGUUAAGUCAGAGGUGAAAUCCCAGGGCUCAACCCUGGAACUGCCUUUGAUACUGGCGAUCUUGAGUAUGAGAGAGGUAUGUGGAACUCCGAGUGUAGAGGUGAAAUUCGUAGAUAUUCGGAAGAACACCAGUGGCGAAGGCGACAUACUGGCUCAUUACUGACGCUGAGGCGCGAAAGCGUGGGGAGCAAACAGGAUUAGAUACCCUUGUAGUCC